rnacentral:rRNA from 1 species
AAAUUGAAGAGUUUGAUCAUGGCUCAGAUUGAACGCUGGCGGCAGGCCUAACACAUGCAAGUCGAACGGUAACAGGAAGAAGCUUGCUUCUUUGCUGACGAGUGGCGGACGGGUGAGUAAUGUCUGGGAAACUGCCUGAUGGAGGGGGAUAACUACUGGAAACGGUAGCUAAUACCGCAUAACGUCGCAAGACCAAAGAGGGGGACCUUCGGGCCUCUUGCCAUCGGAUGUGCCCAGAUGGGAUUAGCUAGUAGGUGGGGUAACGGCUCACCUAGGCGACGAUCCCUAGCUGGUCUGAGAGGAUGACCAGCCACACUGGAACUGAGACACGGUCCAGACUCCUACGGGAGGCAGCAGUGGGGAAUAUUGCACAAUGGGCGCAAGCCUGAUGCAGCCAUGCCGCGUGUAUGAAGAAGG